ACCAAGACAAUGCUGUUUUAUACUCAAAGUAUAUAGAUACAGGUGAUGGAGCAUGUCUUUACUUUCAAUAUCACAUGUAUGGUGCUACAAUAAACACACUAAACAUCAACGUUUCCACUAAUGGCUUUGACAAUCAGGGAAUUUGGUGGCGGUAUGGCAACCAAGGAAAUAUGUGGCACCAAGCUGCCGUGAACUUGCCCAGAAGCUCUUCAUUAAAGAUUUUCAUAGAAGCAAUGUCGGGUUCCAGCUUCACAGGUGA